GGUGAUUCACUAACAUAUGCAUAUAAUAUAUAACAUAUGUAAUAGCUAUCAUAGACUUCAUUUUUGGUACCUCCCAUUCGGCCAUUCCCUUGUUUUUCGAAUUUAAAGCAACCAUUUACAUACGUGGUUUGAGUACAUACAUGUGUGUGUGCGCGCGCAUAUGCAGGGUGGUUUUGACUCCGGUGCGGUGGCGACCGCAAACAUAUUGGAGAGUUCAAGUUCAACAGUCGGCGGGAAGCCGUACUACUUCUUGUCAGUGUUGACAAGAACCGCCGACGGAGACGAAGGCGGGAAGCACCAGCUAAUAACAGCCACCGUCAACAACGGCAAGCUUUACAUUUGCAAGGCACAAGCUGGGGACAAGAGGUGGUUCAAGGGAGCUAGAAAGUUUGU
rnacentral:lncRNA from 1 species